CGGCACGGGUGAGUAACACGUAUCCAACCUGCCGUCUACUCUUGGACAGCCUUCUGAAAGGAAGAUUAAUACAAGAUGGCAUCAUGAGUCCGCAUGUUCACAUGAUUAAAGGUAUUCCGGUAGACGAUGGGGAUGCGUUCCAUUAGAUAGUAGGCGGGGUAACGGCCCACUUAGUCUUCGAUGGAUAGGGGUUCUGAGAGGAAGGUCCCCCACAUUGGAACUGAGACACGGUCCAA
rnacentral:rRNA from 1 species